GACGAACGCUGGCGGCGUGCUUAACACAUGCAAGUCGAACGAUGAAGCCCUUCGGGGUGGAUUAGUGGCGAACGGGUGAGUAACACGUGGGCAAUCUGCCCUUCACUCUGGGACAAGCCCUGGAAACGGGGUCUAAUACCGGAUACCACUCCUGCCUGCAUGGGCGGGGGUUGAAAGCUCCGGCGGUGAAGGAUGAGCCCGCGGCCUAUCAGCUUGUUGGUGGGGUAAUGGCCCACCAAGGCGACGACGGGUAGCCGGCCUGAGAGGGCGACCGGCCACACUGGGACUGAGACACGGCCCAGACUCCUACGGGAGGCAGCAGUGGGGAAUAUUGCACAAUGGGCGAAAGCCUGAUGCAGCGACGCCGCGUGAGGGAUGACGGCCUUCGGGUUGUAAACCUCUUUCAGCAGGGAAGAAGCGAAAGUGACGGUACCUGCAGAAGAAGCGCCGGCUAACUACGUGCCAGCAGCCGCGGUAAUACGUAGGGCGCAAGCGUUGUCCGGAAUUAUUGGGCGUAAAGAGCUCGUAGGCGGCUUGUCACGUCGGAUGUGAAAGCCCGAGGCUUAACCUCGGGUCUGCAUUCGAUACGGGCUAGCUAGAGUGUGGUAGGGGAGAUCGGAAUUCCUGGUGUAGCGGUGAAAUGCGCAGAUAUCAGGAGGAACACCGGUGGCGAAGGCGGAUCUCUGGGCCAUUACUGACGCUGAGGAGCGAAAGCGUGGGG
rnacentral:rRNA from 1 species